UUGACCUACGGGACGCAGCAGUGGGGAAUAUUGGGCAAUGGGCGAAAGCCUGACCCAGCAACGCCGCGUGAAGGAAGAAGGCUUUCGGGUUGUAAACUUCUUUUGGCAGGGAAGAGCAGAAGACGGUACCUGUCGAAUAAGCCACGGCUAACUACGUGCCAGCAGCCGCGGUAAUACGUAGGUGGCAAGCGUUAUCCGGAUUUACUGGGUGUAAAGGGCGUGUAGGCGGGAAAGCAAGUCAGAUGUGAAAACCAUGGGCUCAACCUGUGGCCUGCAUUUGAAACUGUUUUUCUUGAGUACUGGAG
rnacentral:rRNA from 1 species